rnacentral:rRNA from 1 species
GACGAACGCUGGCGGCGUGCCUAAUACAUGCAAGUCGAGCGGAGCGGCGGACGGGUGAGUAAUGCCUAGGAAUCUGCCUGGUAGUGGGGGAUAACGUCCGGAAACGGGCGCUAAUACCGCAUACUAUCAGAUGAGCCUAGGUCGGAUUAGAUAGUUGGUGGGGAAAAGGCCUACCAAGGCGACGAUCCGUAACUGGGCUGAGAGGAUGAUCAGUCACACUGGAACUGAGACACGGUCCAGACUCCUACGGGAGGCAGCAGUGGGGAAUAUUGGACAAUGGGCGAAAGCCUGAUCCAGCCAUGCCGCGUGUGUUAAGAAGGUCUUCGGAUUGUAAAGCACUUUAGGUUGUGAAGCGUUACCAACAGAAUAAGCACCGGCUAACUACGUGCCAGCCGCCGCGGUAAUAC